UAAGCAAUUAUCCACCCCUGUUGUUUCGUUUUGCCCUCUUGCAAUCUCAGUGCUGCUUGUUGCUACCAACUCCAUUCGCAAUUUGGAGCGGUGAAAUGAAACUUACGACUACAUGCGCUGAUAUCUAUGAUCUCAAAGAAACUGCAUUAUAUUUCCCUCAUCUUCGUCCAACCCUCCUCACGUCAAAUUGACCUCGGAGGAGCGUAUCUAACCUAGUUGUACCUAUGCUGAAUACUGUUGCCUCGGAUUGGCUUUGGAUUGCAUAUACUCUGGAUGAUGCUAUCAAAUUCAAACAAAUAGCUUGACACUUGACACACAAUUUUUGGAGGUUGCUAAUCUUGUUAUAGGAUGAUGCGAUCAACUCCAGACUAAGCUGCUCAUAUGUUCACAGUCGUGUGCUUGCUACUGCUGGAUCAAGUUACAUCUACAGGGUUAUAUUAGAAUUCUUAAUGAAUUGGAGCUGCCUAGGAGAUAAUUAAUUGUUGUUUUCCUAGAGUUCAGAUUUGCAGAUCUCGCACUGUCCUUCAAAGUAAUUAGGGUGCAGCAACUUUUAUGGCCUUCGCUUAAUUUCAAGCAGCCUAUACUGUAUUUGGUUUAGCAUCGAGUUAUACUGUGGCAACAGCUCAAACAUCACAUGAAGGUAGCUGCGAAUCACCAAAUUCUACAAGUUAUGUUUUAAGCCAGGUUUCAAGUUUGGUAUUAUAUAAGAUAGGGUCGUUGUUUUAUGAUGGUGUAUCUCUUGGAGUUGGCUGGCAGCAAGUUCUUCCAGCAGUUUAAACAAUUGGCUCUUUUUAAUGUUCAGGACCAUAGUCUAAUGUGCUGUAUUUAGGUUUCCCCUGCCAUAUGCCUCUUUUUGCUGGACCAUUAUUCCUCUGCAAGGCUCUUUAGGAUUUUCACAAGCUGUACUUGUCUAGAGGUUCUGUUACUGUUUUUUUACUGUAUGCUUAGGCAGUCUCUAUUUGUACAUAAACCAUCUGAACUUUCUAGGGUUCACCAUGUAGUCAUGUACUCUAAUUCUUUGUAAUGAAAUUCAUUUUGCGUAUAAAUAAAAGACCUGACAACUCAGGUUUCUGAGAUUCAAA